rnacentral:tRNA from 1 species
GUCGGAGUGGCGGAAUUGGCAGACGCGCUAGCUUGAGGGGCUAGUGCCCAGAUUGGGCGUGGGGGUUCAAGUCCCCCCUCCGACA